CCUACGGGAGGCAGCAGUGGGGAAUAUUGGGCAAUGGGCGCAAGCCUGACCCAGCAACGCCGCGUGAAGGAAGAAGGCUUUCGGGUUGUAAACUUCUUUUCUCAGGGACGAAGACCGUGACGGUCCCUGAGGAAUAAGCCACGGCUAACUACGUGCCAGCAGCCGCGGUACUACGUAGGUGGCAAGCGUUAUCCGGAUUUAUUGGGUGUAAAGGGCAUGUAGGCGGGAGCGCAAGUCAGAUGUGAAAACUCAGGGCUCAACCCUGAGCCUGCAUUUGAAACUGUGGUUCUUGAGUGCUGGAGAGGCAAUCGGAAUUCCGUGUGUAGCGGUGAAAUGCGUAGAUAUACGGAGGAACACCAGUGGCGAAGGCGGAGUGCUGGACAGUAACUGACGCUGAGGCGCGAAAGCGUGGGGAGCAAACAGGAUUAGAUACCCGGGUAGUC
rnacentral:rRNA from 1 species